rnacentral:rRNA from 1 species
UACGUAGGGGGCAAGCGUUGUCCGGAAUCAUUGGGCGUAAAGCGCGCGUAGGCGGCCCGGUAAGUCCGCUGUGAAAGUCAAAGGCUCAACCUUUGAAUGUCAGCGGAUGCUGCCGGGCUAGAGUCCGGAAGAGGCGAGUGGAACUCCUGGUGUAGCGGUGGAAUGCGCAGAUAUCAGGAAGAACACCAACGGCGAAGGCAGCUCGCUGGGACGGAACUGACGCUGAGGCGCGAAAGCGUGGGGAGCGAACAGG